rnacentral:rRNA from 1 species
AGCGAACGCUGGCGGCAGGCCUAACACAUGCAAGUCGAACGAACCCUUCGGGGGUACUGGCGGACGGGUGUGGCACACGUGGGAACGUGCCUGUAGGCUUGGAAUAACUCAGGGAAACGUGUGCUAAUACAGGAUGUGCUCCUCGGGGGCAGGGUAUGUCGACUUUGGAGAGGCCCGCGUCUGAUUAGCUGGUUGGGUGAGGUAAUGGCUCUCUCAGGCGACGAUCAGUAGCUGGUCUGGGAGCAUGAUCCGCCACAUUAGGACCGAGACCCGGCCCAAAAUCCGGCGGGAGGCAGCAGUGGGGAACCAUGCGCAAUGGGCGAAAGCCUAAGGCCUCCGUGCCGCGUGAAUGAUGAGGGGGGUAGGAUUGUAAACAUCUUUCACCGGGGACGAUAUUGCCGUUACCCGAAGAAAAGGCCCCGCCUACCUUCUU